ensembl:snRNA U6 U6 spliceosomal RNA
GUGCUCGCUUCGGCAGCACAUAUACUAAAAUUGGAACGAUACAGAGAAGAUUAGCAUGGGCCCUGCGCAAGGAUGACGGAAAUUCCAAUGUACUCACAGAGCUCAU